rnacentral:rRNA from 1 species
AUUGAACGCUGGCGGCAGGCCUAACACAUGCAAGUCGAGCGGAUGAAGGUAGCUUGCUACCUGAUUCAGCGGCGGACGGGUGAGUUAUGCCUAGGAAUCUGCCUGGUAGUGGGGGACAACGUUUCGAAAGGAACGCUAAUACCGCAUACGUCCUACGGGAGAAAGUGGGGGAUCUUCGGACCUCACGCUAUCAGAUGAGCCUAGGUACGAUUAGCUAGUUGGUGAGGUAAAGGCUCACCAAGGCGACGAUCGUUAACUGGUCUGAGAGGAUGAUCAGUCACACUGGAACUGAGACACGGUCCAGACUCCUACGGGAGGCAGCAGUGGGGAAUAUUGGACAAUGGGCGAAAGCCUGAUCCAGCCAUGCCGCGUGUGUGAAGAAGGUCUUCGGAUUGUAAAGCACUUUAAGUUGGGAGGAAGGGCAGUAAGUUAAUACCCUGCUGUUUUGACGUUACCGACAGAAUAAGCACCGGCUAACUUCGUGCCAGCCGCCGCGGUAA